rnacentral:lncRNA from 1 species
UCUGGACAAAGACCAGUGCUACACUUGCCACAGGACUUGUGAAACAUGCAGUGGGAAGCACAGCACACAAUGCCUCUCCUGUCCACCAAGCUGGUAUAAGCAAGAAAAUGAAUGUGUACAGACCUGCUCAACUGGGUACUAUGCAAACAAUGUAUCUGGCACUUGUGAGAGAUGUCACAAAAGCUGUAAGGAGUGCCUGGGGCCUGAAUCCACAGACUGCCUGUCCUGUGAUACAGAUUUCUUCCUGCUGCACUCCACACAUGAGUGUCAGCUCUCUUGCCCGGAAUAUUACUAUGCAGACGAUGAUCAAUACACCUGUGAAAGGUGCCACCCAACCUGCCAUUCUUGCAAUGGGGAAGGACCAUUUGGCUGUACGUCUUGUGUGUGGAGUUAUCGUUUGGUUGCUGGAAGCUGCAAUUCGGAAUGCUUCAUUG